AAACACCCUCACGUACACACACUGUUGAACAGUUGAAUAAAUACACUCAAGGCAAUGCACUGAAGGACCCAGUGGGAAUUCUUGUCUCAGGGAUAUAUAUAUUUAGGACACACUAAAAACUUCCAAAGAGCUUCAGACUACCAAGGAAAAAAAGGAUGGGGGUGAAAGCUUUGCAGUGUUUCCCCUGGUAUGGGAGAAGAAAAGAAAGAAAGAGGAAGAAGAGUGAAGAAGAGUCUCCUACUACUGCCUCUCCAACAGAGAAACCAAGACUCUGCUCUACCUCAUCAGGAAACAGCGACACAGACAAACAGCAGGGACGGGCCUACUUCAGUGGUAAGGCCAGAGUUUCCUUUCGCCAUGAGAUGGAUUCCACCAUGACUGCAAAUGACUCCACUUUCUGAGGCUUGAUAACUGAUGCAAAGGCCGCUAUGUGAGGCCCUCAUUUAUGAGUAAAUAAACAGACUUGACCUUCCAUGCCUUGGUGAAGAAAGGCAGUAAAUGAGUCAUUUAACUUCUGAGCCAUAUAAAGAGGACAUGAUUUGAAGACAAGGUCUUCUUGUGUAACUACUAACUACAUAAACAUUUUAUAAUGAACUCCUAUAGACAAAUUGUAAUAUGUUCUGUAUUCCGUUAAUAUGUUCAGUUUUUGUGUGUGCGCCUAGCAUGAUGUGUUUGUAUAUCAGCAGCACAAACCAAUGUGUUACUGAAAUAUUGCAGAUUUGGAUGAGAAAUGACAUGAAAGCGAACAGGAAAUAUGGCAUAUAUAACAGAAAUGUCCUGGAGACUGUAGUUAUAUAAACUUACUAUGUGAAUUAGGAGCUACUAACUAAACAAUCUUUUUGUAAGGUCAUUGAAGUGAUGAAUCAAUAUUAACAUUAUCCAGACAUUGUAUCCUUCCAACCAACAAAAGUUUUAAAGUGAAUGGGAAACCAAUUGCGGAGACCGAUUCAGUCGGUUGUUUAAUUGAUGUAAACUGGCUUUUGCUUAAAACACAAGGCAGCACAGCAGCCUGAAAAAAGAGGCAAAACUAUAUUGUAGAAAUACAAAAACAGGUUUACAUUAAAGGGAUAGUAAACACCUUGUACCAUAUUACCCAGGUCUAUACAUUCUUAAAUAAAAUUAAGAUCUUGUUUGCUGUAUUUGUUUUCAAUAGCCAAACACCACCACCAGGUGUCUUAUUUGGAAGAGCCAAUCUGGGCUUGAGUCUGCAUACAACAAGGGUAGCCACAGUCAUAAUGUUAAUAUAAAGUGCAUUGUUUUGUAGUUGUUUUCUGCUUAAAGGGACAUUAAACACUUUGAGAUAGUAAUAUAAAAAGAUAAAUCGUAUAUCUAUAAAUAACUUUACAAAAUACUUUCAUUAUUUGUUUUGCCCCCUUUUUCUGUAAUUCCAUUAUGAAAUUGAGAGCAUUUCAAUUCCUGUUAGAAAUGGAAGUGCAGAACAUUGUUAUAUUCCACACAGCCAUUGACUGCGCACUCUAGUGACCUAAUUAUAACUGUAAUUGGCCACAGCAGAGACCGUAACCUAAGUUACAACAUGGCAGCUCCCAUUGUUUUACAGACAAUAAGGGGUCUAUUUAACAAAGGUCUGUCGGAUCAGGUUCGACAGACCUCGCUGAAUGCGGAGAGCAAUACGCUCUCCGUAUUCAGCAUUACACUAGCAGCUCUUAUGAACUGCUGGUGCAACGCCGCCCCCAGCAGAUUUGCGGCCAAUCGGCCGCCAGCAGGGGCUUCAUAACUGGUGUUUCGGGCCCUCAGGCUCCAUUCGGAGUUUGAUAAAUUUGCCCCCAAAACUUUACACUUAUUUUGUCAAUAUUUAAACAACUAAUGAAACUUUAAAAAUCUACAUGUUUUUAUUCUCAGACUAAUCUUUUCUGUGAAUGCGUCAUUCUAUCUAGCAUUUAUUUAGUGUUUAAUCUUAAGCUAAAUAGGGACUAAUAUGUUGCAGGGCUAUCUUUGAGAAGUCUGCAGGUUUCUUUUCCAGGUCUGAGAAAUAUAAAAGCCACACUUUUCAGAGGUAAAUUACAUGAAAGGGGGGUAAAAUAACAAAUUAAAGUAUAUUGCACAGAUUUUCUUGAAAUCUCAAGGUGUUUACUGUCCUUUUAAGGGUGUAGAGAUUGAAUUUACGCAAAUACAGUGUCCAUAUCCCUUCAAUAUGAAUACAGUAAGGAAAAAAACAUGCUUACAUUAAAUAACAAGACAUGGAAGUUAUGUAUUAAUGCACAAAUAUAUUCAUAUCCCUUUUAAGUAACAUAUUUACUUUUGCUUGGUGAAUAUUACAUUUGCUGUCUUUUUUUAGCUUUCUGAAUAUAAACUAUGCAGGCUGGCAGACUGAGGUAAGUGAAGAUAUGCAGGGGGGGGAAACAGGUUUUUCAAGGCAAAAAUUGUAGACUAAAGUGGAAUAUAAAUUAAAAUGUGCUAGGACUCGCUCUCAUAUAGAAAGACACAAAACAUGAAAUAGAACAGAGAAAGUGAAUAUACUUGGGGGGGGGGGAUGAGUUAGUGCAUUUUAUUCCAAAACUAUAUAGAGUUACCAGUUGGCCUCUUUAACCAACUUUGGUCUUCAAGGAAUAUAAAUUCAGUCUUGAAUGAGCAAAUAUGAGUCAAAAAGUUCAGACAUCUUUUUCACAUCCUUAAUAAUAAAAGGUUAAAAAAAAAAGAGAGAGAGAAGCCACUUUUGCUGCAUUCCACAUUUUGUACAAUAUUAUAGCAUUAAAGGUGCACUGAACCCAAAUUUUUUUCUUUUGUGAUUCAGAUAAAGCAUGCAAUUUUAAGCAACUUUCUAAUUUACUCCUAUUAUCAAAUUUUCUUCAUUCUCUUUGUAUGUUUAUUUAAAAAGCAAGAAUGUAAGUUUAGAUGCCGGCCCAUUUUUGGUGAACAACCUGGGUUGUCCUUGCUCAUUGGACAGCACUAAUAAAAAGUGCUCUCUAUGGUUCUGAACCAAAAAUUUGUUGGCUCCUUAGCUUAGAUGCCUUCUUUUUCAAAUAAAGAUAGCAAGAGAACAAAGAAAAAUUGAUAAUAAAAGUAAAUUAGAAAGUUGCUUAAAAUGGCAUGCUCUAUCUGAAUCAUGAAAGAAAAAAUUUGGGUUCAGUGUCCCUUUAAGCAACAAAAUACUUUUCUUUUUUUUUAAUGUUUCACUAAAAUCUUUAAAUAUUCUACCUCAACCGCCUUAAAGGGACACUGAACCCACAUUUUUUCUUUCAUGAUUCAGAUAGAGCAUGAAAUUUUAAGACACUUUCUAAUUGACUUUUUCUUCAUUCUCUUGCUAUCUUUAUUUUAAAAGCAGGAAUGUAAAUCUUGCUUAUUGGAGGCUUACAUUUACCCACCAAUAAGCAAGCAUAACCUAGGUUCUCAACCAAAAAUGGGCCGGCUCCUAUGCAUCACAUUCCUGCUUUUUAAAUAAAGAUAGCAAGAGAACGAAAAAAUUGAUAAUAGGAGUAAAUUAGAAAGUUGCUUAAAAUUGCAUGCUCUAUCUAUCUGAAUAAUGAAGGGAAAAAAAUGUGUUUAGUGUCCUUUUAAGCAGAGAUAUCUCUGCUCAGUCAUAGAUUCUCAUUUGAAUUAACUAUGCUAAAAGCCUAUAUCUUUUAGGUGUUAAAAUGCACUGUGAGUGGGAGAGAGUACAUGUAGUGGGUAAAUAUGAACAGUGUAGUUUCUGUGUUUUGUGUGGUAAAUCGGAGGAAAUGGGUUGAAAUGAGAAAUCUUGUCUUCGUGUAAAGCUGCCAUGUUGCCUUUUGGCCACUACUUAAUAGUCAACAUCAGUUUUAGUAAGAACAUAAAGUUAUUUGAAUUGCUGAACAUGCAUAUUAUAAUAAAUCUUAUGUAGUAAACAAACUGCAUUUUACAAAGAUUGUAAUUUGAGGGAGUAGACAAAAGGUUUGGUGCUGCAAAAGAGACAUCUAGUGGUCAAAAUCAGGAACUGAUAAGUAUGUAGAAAUCAGAAACAGUCAGGAUCCAAUACUAGAUAAUCGCUCACAUGUCACAAGAAAACUAGAACAGUAUGAAGGGUAAUCUAUUUACAGUUUUUUCCCCUUACAAAGGUCUGCAACUCAUGAAAAUUUAUAUAAAUGUAAUGACUGUUCAUUUGAUAAAAAUAGUUUGUUAAAAAUAAUAAUGUAAUCUGCACAUUUAUUUCACAUCUGUCAUGUCUGAUAUCUUCAGUUAUACAUAUCUCAUCUUUAUCACAAGGUUCCCCUCCCCCACCCACACACACACAAAUGCCUGCCCCUUAUGAAAGAUCAGUUCACAUUGUACAGAUUGUUUAAAAUAAAUUUGCAUUUAUUUCAUAUGUA